GAUGAACGCUAGCGGCAGGCUUAAUACAUGCAAGUCGAGGGGCAGCAGGCCUGUAGCAAUACAGAUGCUGGCGACCGGCAAACGGGUGCGGAACACGUACACAACUUACCCGGAACUGGGGGAUAGCCUUCCGAAAGGAAGAUUAAUACCCCAUAAGAUAGUGGAGCGGCAUCGCUCAGCUAUUAAAGCUCAGGCGGUUCUGGAUGGGUGUGCGGCUGAUUAGGUAGUUGGCGGGGUAACGGCCCACCAAGCCUGCGAUCAGUAACUGGUGUGAGAGCACGACCAGUCACACGGGCACCGAGACACGGGCCCGACUCGUACGGGAGGCAGCAGUAAGGAAUAUUGGUCAAUGGACGCAAGUCUGAACCAGCCAUGCCGCGUGAAGGAUGAAGGUCCUCUGGAUUGUAAACUUCUUUUAUGGGGGACGAAAUCUACGUUUCUACGUAGUCUGACGGUACCCUAGGAAUAAGCACCGGCUAACUCCGUGCCAGCAGCCGCCGUAA
rnacentral:rRNA from 1 species